GAACCUGCGGGAGAGAAGAACCCUCUGAGCCUGAUUGAAAGGCGGUGAAGAGACAGGAGAGGGGGAUCAGUGGGCGGUCCCGCCUCCAUCUUCAGUUCCCGCAUGGGGGCGAGGCAGGUACAUGGGCCUUGCUGGCUGUGGGUGAAAUUCCAUUAUUAAUUGUUUUUUCACUAACCUGGUGGGGGAGUCGGGCGCGAGUUUCGAGAGAAGCUCUGGCUUCUGGCGCCAAGCCUUAGCCAAGCUCACCAGGGGCAGCGCUAGAUGGGGAGACUGGGACACACGUCUGAACGCAGAUGUCCGAAGGGAGCGCAGGAAGACAGAAGCCUCCCGUUGGGCAGGAGGGCAAAAGCUCCUGCGUCUUGGAUUUGCAACAGGAGUUCAGACGGUGAAAGCAGGGCCUCAGGAUCCUUCUGACCUUUUGAGUUUUAAACAAGGGGUGUCAGAAAAGUCGUCACAGGGAUAACUGAUUUGCAGCAGGAAAGCAUUCAUAGGAAUGAGGCUUCUUUUUGUUUUUGUCUUUGUUUUUUGUUUUUUUUGUUUUUGUUUUUUUUUUUUGACAGGGUCUCAUUCUGUGGCACAGGCUGGAGUGCAGUGGUGCCACCAUUGCUCACUGCGCUAUGUGAGCUAUGUGAUCGGCGCUCAAGUGAUACUCUCGCCUCAGCCUCCAAAAUAAACGGGACCGCAGGCCUGAGCCACCAUGUCCUGUGGCUUUUUAAUCCUUUUGAUCCUUGGAUGUGGGCUCUUCCUAUCAUUGGAAGACAGAAUUCACCAAGGUUGGAUUGUUCACCCACUCAGAAAACCUGAGCUGGGGCCGGGGCUGGGGCUGUGGCUCACGCCUAUAAUCCCAGCACUUUGGUAGGCCAAGGCGGGCGAAUCACCUGAGGUUGGAAGUUCGAGGCCAGCCUGGCCAACAUGGUGAAACCCCCAUCUCUACUGAAAAUACAAAAAUUAGCCGGGCGUGGUGGCGCAUGCCUGUAAUCCCAGCUACUCGGGAGGCUGAGGCAGGAGAAUCACUUGAACCAGGGAGGCAGAGGUUGCAGUGAGCUGAGAUGGUGUCACUGCACUCCAGCCUGGGCAACAAGAGCGAAACUUCGUCAAAAAAAAAAAAAAAAGAAAGAAACAAACAAACAAAGAAGAAAAGAAAAGGAAAGAAAAGAAAGCCGGAGCUGGGAUUAGACCAUGUGAGACAGGUUGAUUUCACGCUAGUGAGCAUGCGUGGUUGCCAUGGUGCUCUUGCCCAGUACCACAGGUCCCCAGGUUCAGACGUUUGGUGCCUGUGCUUGGAUGAGGGACCACUGGGCUAAGCUGCCAUCCGUGGGAUGCUGACUAAAGGCCUCCAAGUCAGAAUAUGCCCAGGCAGAACUAUAGGGCAGCGCCAUGAAGCCUCAGCUGGCCUGGGAUAGCCGGUCGUCGCCAACAGGACGCAGUGCAGCAGGGUUGAGGCCCCAUGCGGAGAGCUCAUUGUCUUGGGAAACCGGCAGUGGGAAGGGUGGCUGGCCCCUCGCCCUUCAAGCAAGGCCCAUUCGUGGGGAACCUGGCGCUAAACCAUCCCUAGAGGAGCUGCUUCUGGGUCCGAGUUUUCUCUGCAGCAGAGUGGCUCCCUGGAUGGGAUCUAUUGACAGUUAGCCCUCCACACAGGCGUGU
rnacentral:ncRNA from 1 species